UGCCUAAAGUGUAAACAUAUAAAAUUGGAUAAAAGUCAGAAUUGUUCGUGCCAUCUUAGCUCCAAUUUCUAUUAUUGAAAAAGCUAGAUAGAAAAGUAAGCCGACAGGAAGAAAAUCAACUCAUAUAAAAUGUGCUGAAGGAAAGUUCUAUGGAUGCCAUGGACUAUUAAAUGAGACUUAGGGACUGUCCCUGGAGGCCAAAAUGACUGAACUGCUUUGGUCAUAAUCACAAGGCAACAUGACACAUUGGGAAAAAUAACAAUGCUUGGAUAUCGGAGACAGUUGACAAACAGGAAGACUAUAUUACAGGUGGAUAGACUCAAACUAGGAAGGCAGGAUUUGGGUUUCCAGCACCUGAGCUGGACUGUUGAUUAUAGGGUUUCUUGGAGGCGUCUCAGUCAUAGUCCCCAUGAAUUUAAGCUUUUCUAAUUGACUGGGAUAGUCACAGCUACUCCUCCAUGCUAGUUUUUCCAUUGAUUUUAAUCUUGUCCUUCCCAGGAGGCUAAGGCAAAAGAAAACUGUUACAGCCUCCUCUAACUUGUCUGUUUUUCCUUAAACUUUUGCCAUCUAGACCAUACUGUAAACUUGCUUGGCCACACAUAUUCCACUACUUCAGCCUCUUCUAGACUGUCUGUUAUUCCCCCUUUAUUUGCUAUCUUGGCCACAUGGAUGUUGUUUAGCCACACGUCACAGUUUUCAUCUCAGAGGAAGGCAAUGGCAACCCUCUUCUGAACAAAUCUCAAGAAAACCCUGUGAUGGUUUACCCAAGAGUCCCCUUAGAUCAAGAAAUGACUUGACGGCACAUAACAACUGCAAGAGCAUGUUCAGAAGGGGAAACCAAACUGCUGACGGGUUAAAGAGCCAGGUUAAAGAUGCCAGGAGGUCAGUGGGGCCCUUCAUGGUGAAGAAAUAGUAGGGUGCCUUGGAAGUAUUCCCUUGAAGAACACGGCUGCAUCACGCUUCAGAAACAAAUACAGAACUGGAUGAAGCAUUCUGGUUGGCAGUGUGACUGGAACAUGUCCUUCUGGUUUAGCCACCGGCAUGUCCCAGCUGCACAAGUGAGUGACUCAGGUCCAAAGGAUCCAGUCGGACUUGAUUUGGCAUUGGGAACCAUGCAAAGAAGUGCUGGAUUCCUUUCCGUGGCUUUUCCUUGUGCUGCCCAUCAUCACCACCAGGAAGGAGGAAGUUGGGGCAGGACAUAAUUAACCUCCAGGAUUUGCUGCUAUUCAAAUUGUUUGCCCAGAAAAUGUCAAAAUGAAGAGCAAACGUCAGUUGGCAAGAGAAGAUGCUAUUUCACCGCCCUUUCUGGAGAUGUUGAAAGGUUUUAUAUGGAUGGUUGAGAUUCUGCAGGCACCACAAUUUCAGAGAGAUAUUGACAAGAUGGAAUGUGUCCAGAGGACGGCAACUAAAAUGAUCAAAGGUCAGGAGACCAUGAAUCCCUAUGAGGAGUGGCUUAAGGAGUUGGCAUGUUUAGUCUGCAGAAAAGAAGGGAGCUUCUACAUUGUGGAGUUUCUGCCUUGUGUUCCAAGUUGUCUUGAGCUGCCUGGUAUCAUAAGGUUCAUGAGUUUUGGCAAAGCUAUGGAUUUGUUGGAACUGCUAUCUGGGAAUCCUGUGUGUGAAAAUGAAAGGGCACAAAAACACAACAAUGGGCAUGCUAUCUCAUAGUAAAGCACCUUGCUCACUGCUACCACUCCCCUUGCAACACAUAGCUGGAGGGAAGCAUCUGUUUCAUUCAUCCAUGCCAACUCCUUUGAUGGGAAAAGAAGAGGCCUAGCCUUUCUUCUGCAGGAAUGGGGUGUGUGUAGGCCAUACAUAGUGAGAACUUGCCCUAGAGCCCUGUGUAACUUGCAGGUGUCCUAUGAGAGACUGGGCCAAUGCUCUCCAACAUUUCAUGGAUUAGGACCAACACCUAUAUGCCUGAGCUACAUGAAAGCACCUUUGGCCUUCUAUAUCCAGGGAUUUUGAAUUCAGGGAUUCCACCAUCCGUGGUUUUGUUUAAAAAACUCAAAGGCAAUUUUUUAUUUGUUUUUUUUUAAUAUAAGAACCCAUUUUACUACAUCAUUGUAUUUAAUGGGACUUGCACAUCCACAGACUUUGAUAUUCAUACCAAAGGUCCAUUGUAUGGUCAAGGGGGUGUGAUCGCAAAGAUGCAGAAGUUAUUAAUAAGGAAAAACACACCGAACAGUGAGAGAGAGCAGAGAAAUCCUGAAAUUUAUGUACUGAGUUAAAGAGGGGCAUGGCUCUACCCAUUAUAUCUGCUUGUAGCAACUGAAGUUAGACAACCGUGAGAGGAGAAGAAACUGGGACAUUUUAAAAGCCAAUGAGAAAGUGGAAUGCAGAGGAUUAAUCUGUCCUGCCAAAUUGGGACAGCUAAAGACACCUUGAAAAGUCUUCCCAUGUUUUGAAAACUAUGAAAUGAGGAAAAAAUUUAAUCAGUAAGAUAUCUGUUUAUACAGCUAACUAUUGUUCUAAGUGAUUUAUAUUCACCUUUCCCAAAAUGCAUAAUUCCUGAACCCAACUUCACUACAGGCAGAACUGGCUCUUGCCAUUAAGGGAGCGAGGCAGCAACCUCAGCCAAUAGAUCUUGGGCAUCACAAAAGGGCAGAAAGAAUAUUAUAUUUACUGAGUUGUUGUCACUGUCUUUUUACUGCCAAUGCCAUAGGGGAAGUCCUUGUGGCAUUUUUUUUGUCUCAAGUGUCAAAAUAACUUGGUCGGUAAACUUUGUUACUAUAGCACAUUGACAACUGUAGGGUGCCAUUUACUGCUCUGCCUUGGGCUGCUCUUGAUAGUAAAGAUCAAUAAAAUGAGAUUUUCUUCAAAGCUGACAGACCCUUAUCUU